rnacentral:tRNA from 2 species
AGCAACUUGGCGCAGGGGAAGCGCGCCGGGCUCAUACUGCAAUGGGAUAACCCCCGUAUUCCUGGCUACCCGGAGGUCCUUGGAUCGAAACCAAGAGUUGCUA